rnacentral:rRNA from 1 species
CCGUACUUCUUACAAUUGCGAUGGGGGGACGGAGAAGGCUAGGUGGGCCUGGCGACGGUUGUCCAGGUUCAAGUACGUAGGCGGGUGGUUUAGGUAAAUCCGGACCGCUACUAACGCUGAGAUACGAUGUCGAGCUACUACGGUAGUGAAGUCAUUGAUGCCAUGCUUCCAGGAAAAGCCUCUAAGCUUCAGAUUGUAAGGAAUCGUACCCCAAACCGACACAGGUGGUCGGGUAGAGAAUACCAAGGCGCUUGAGAGAACUCGGGUGAAGGAACUAGGCAAAAUGGUACCGUAACUUCGGGAGAAGGUACGCUCUUAUCAGUGAAGUCCCUUGCGGAUGGAGCAGACGAGAGUCGCAGAUACCAGGUGGCUGCAACUGUUUAUUAAAAACACAGCACUGUGCAAAAUCGUAAGAUGACGUAUACGGUGUGACGCCUGCCCGGUGCCGGAAGGUUAAUUGAUGGGGUUAGACUUCGGUCGAAGCUCUUGAUCGAAGCCCCGGUAAACGGCGGCCGUAACUAUAACGGUCCUAAGGUAGCGAAAUUCCUUGUCGGGUAAGUUCCGACCUGCACGAAUGGCGUAAUGAUGGCCACGCUGUCUCCACCCGAGACUCAGUGAAAUUGAAAUCGCUGUGAAGAUGCAGUGUACCCGCGGCUAGACGGAAAGACCCCGUGAACCUUUACUACAGCUUGGCACUGAACAUUGAACCUACAUGUGUAGGAUAGGUGGGAGACUUUGAAACCGCGUCGCUAGAUGUGGUGGAGUCGUCCUUGAAAUACCACCCUUGUAGUUUUGAUGUUCUAACGUUGGUCCCUGAAUCGGGAUUACGGACAGUGCCUGGUGGGUAGUUUGACUGGGGCGGUCUCCUCCCAAAGAGUAACGGAGGAGCACGAAGGUGGGCUAAACACGGUUGGACAUCGUGUGGUUAGUGCAAUGGCAUAAGCCCGCUUGACUGCGAGAAUGACAAUUCGAGCAGGUGCGAAAGCAGGUCAUAGUGAUCCGGUGGUUCUGAAUGGAAGGGCCAUCGCUCAACGGAUAAAAGGUACUCCGGGGAUAACAGGCUGAUACCGCCCAAGAGUUCAUAUCGACGGCGGUGUUUGGCACCUCGAUGUCGGCUCAUCACAUCCUGGGGCUGAAGUCGGUCCCAAGGGUAUGGCUGUUCGCCAUUUAAAGUGGUACGCGAGCUGGGUUUAGAACGUCGUGAGACAGUUCGGUCCCUAUCUGCCGUGGGCGUUGGAAAAUUGAAAGGGGCUGCUCCUAGUACGAGAGGACCGGAGUGGACGAACCUCUGGUGUUCGGGUUGUCAUGCCAAUGGCAUUGCCCGGUAGCUAAGUUCGGAAUCGAUAACCGCUGAAAGCAUCUAAGCGGGAAGCGAGCCUUGAGAUGAGUUUUCCCUG